AGUAGAGUGCCUGAAAAAAGGGCUAUCUUGAUAGGAUAGAUAAUGUAGGAAUAGACCUACUUCUGCUA
rnacentral:tRNA from 1 species